rnacentral:rRNA from 1 species
GGGUUGUGAGGUUAAGCGACUAAGCGUACACGGUGGAUGCCCUGGCAGUCAGAGGCGAUGAAGGACGUGCUAAUCUGCGAUAAGCGUCGGUAAGGUGAUAUGAACCGUUAUAACCGGCGAUUUCCGAAUGGGGAAACCCAGUGUGAUUCGUCACACUAUCAUUAACUGAAUCCAUAGGUUAAUGAGGCGAACCGGGGGAACUGAAACAUCUAAGUACCCCGAGGAAAAGAAAUCAACCGAGAUUCCCCCAGUAGCGGCGAGCGAACGGGGAGCAGCCCAGAGCCUGAAUCAGUGUGUGUGUUAGUGGAAGCGUCUGGAAAGGCGCGCGAUACAGGGUGACAGCCCCGUACACAAAAAUGCACAUACUGUGAGCUCGAUGAGUAGGGCGGGACACGUGGUAUCCUGUCUGAAUAUGGGGGGACCAUCCUCCAAGGCUAAAUACUCCUGACUGACCGAUAGUGAACCAGUACCGUGAGGGAAAGGCGAAAAGAACCCCGGCGAGGGGAGUGAAAAAGAACCUGAAACCGUGUACGUACAAGCAGUGGGAGCACAGAGCAAUCUGUGUGACUGCGUACCUUUUGUAUAAUGGGUCAGCGACUUAUAUUCUGUAGCAAGGUUAACCGAAUAGGGGAGCCGAAGGGAAACCGAGUCUUAACUGGGCGUUAAGUUGCAGGGUAUAGACCCGAAACCCGGUGAUCUAGCCAUGGGCAGGUUGAAGGUUGGGUAACACUAACUGGAGGACCGAACCGACUAAUGUUGAAAAAUUAGCGGAUGACUUGUGGCUGGGGGUGAAAGGCCAAUCAAACCGGGAGAUAGCUGGUUCUCCCCGAAAGCUAUUUAGGUAGCGCCUCGUGAAUUCAUCUCCGGGGGUAGAGCACUGUUUCGGCAAGGGGGUCAUCCCGACUUACCAACCCGAUGCAAACUGCGAAUACCGGAGAAUGUUAUCACGGGAGACACACGGCGGGUGCUAACGUCCGUCGUGAAGAGGGAAACAACCCAGACCGCCAGCUAAGGUCCCAAAGUCAUGGUUAAGUGGGAAACGAUGUGGGAAGGCCCAGACAGCCAGGAUGUUGGCUUAGAAGCAGCCAUCAUUUAAAGAAAGCGUAAUAGCUCACUGGUCGAGUCGGCCUGCGCGGAAGAUGUAACGGGGCUAAACCAUGCACCGAAGCUGCGGCAGCGACGCUUAUGCGUUGUUGGGUAGGGGAGCGUUCUGUAAGCCUGCGAAGGUGUGCUGUGAGGCAUGCUGGAGGUAUCAGAAGUGCGAAUGCUGACAUAAGUAACGAUAAAGCGGGUGAAAAGCCCGCUCGCCGGAAGACCAAGGGUUCCUGUCCAACGUUAAUCGGGGCAGGGUGAGUCGACCCCUAAGGCGAGGCCGAAAGGCGUAGUCGAUGGGAAACAGGUUAAUAUUCCUGUACUUGGUGUUACUGCGAAGGGGGGACGGAGAAGGCUAUGUUGGCCGGGCGACGGUUGUCCCGGUUUAAGCGUGUAGGCUGGUUUUCCAGGCAAAUCCGGAAAAUCAAGGCUGAGGCGUGAUGACGAGGCACUACGGUGCUGAAGCAACAAAUGCCCUGCUUCCAGGAAAAGCCUCUAAGCAUCAGGUAACAUCAAAUCGUACCCCAAACCGACACAGGUGGUCAGGUAGAGAAUACCAAGGCGCUUGAGAGAACUCGGGUGAAGGAACUAGGCAAAAUGGUGCCGUAACUUCGGGAGAAGGCACGCUGAUAUGUAGGUGAAGCGACUUGCUCGUGGAGCUGAAAUCAGUCGAAGAUACCAGCUGGCUGCAACUGUUUAUUAAAAACACAGCACUGUGCAAACACGAAAGUGGACGUAUACGGUGUGACGCCUGCCCGGUGCCGGAAGGUUAAUUGAUGGGGUUAGCGCAAGCGAAGCUCUUGAUCGAAGCCCCGGUAAACGGCGGCCGUAACUAUAACGGUCCUAAGGUAGCGAAAUUCCUUGUCGGGUAAGUUCCGACCUGCACGAAUGGCGUAAUGAUGGCCAGGCUGUCUCCACCCGAGACUCAGUGAAAUUGAACUCGCUGUGAAGAUGCAGUGUACCCGCGGCAAGACGGAAAGACCCCGUGAACCUUUACUAUAGCUUGACACUGAACAUUGAGCCUUGAUGUGUAGGAUAGGUGGGAGGCUUUGAAGUGUGGACGCCAGUCUGCAUGGAGCCGACCUUGAAAUACCACCCUUUAAUGUUUGAUGUUCUAACGUUGACCCGUAAUCCGGGUUGCGGACAGUGUCUGGUGGGUAGUUUGACUGGGGCGGUCUCCUCCUAAAGAGUAACGGAGGAGCACGAAGGUUGGCUAAUCCUGGUCGGACAUCAGGAGGUUAGUGCAAUGGCAUAAGCCAGCUUGACUGCGAGCGUGACGGCGCGAGCAGGUGCGAAAGCAGGUCAUAGUGAUCCGGUGGUUCUGAAUGGAAGGGCCAUCGCUCAACGGAUAAAAGGUACUCCGGGGAUAACAGGCUGAUACCGCCCAAGAGUUCAUAUCGACGGCGGUGUUUGGCACCUCGAUGUCGGCUCAUCACAUCCUGGGGCUGAAGUAGGUCCCAAGGGUAUGGCUGUUCGCCAUUUAAAGUGGUACGCGAGCUGGGUUUAGAACGUCGUGAGACAGUUCGGUCCCUAUCUGCCGUGGGCGCUGGAGAACUGAGGGGGGCUGCUCCUAGUACGAGAGGACCGGAGUGGACGCAUCACUGGUGUUCGGGUUGUCAUGCCAAUGGCACUGCCCGGUAGCUAAAUGCGGAAGAGAUAAGUGCUGAAAGCAUCUAAGCACGAAACUUGCCCCGAGAUGAGUUCUCCCUGACUCCUUGAGAGUCCUGAAGGAACGUUGAAGACGACGACGUUGAUAGGCCGGGUGUGUAAGCGCAGCGAUGCGUUGAGCUAACCGGUACUAAUGAACCGUGAGGCUUAACCUUACAACGCCGAAGGUGUUU